AACGAACGCUGGCGGCAUGCCUAACACAUGCAAGUCGAACGAGACCUUCGGGUCUAGUGGCGCACGGGUGCGUAACGCGUGGGAACCUGCCCUUAGGUUCGGAAUAACUCCCCGAAAGGGGUGCUAAUACCGGAUAAUGUCUUCGGACCAAAGAUUUAUCGCCUUUGGAUGGGCCCGCGUUGGAUUAGCUAGUUGGUAGGGUAAAAGCCUACCAAGGCCACGAUCCAUAGCUGGUCUGAGAGGAUGAUCAGCCACACUGGGACUGAGACACGGCCCAGACUCCUACGGGAGGCAGCAGUGGGGAAUAUUGGACAAUGGACGAAAGCCUGAUCCAGCAAUGCCGCGUGAGUGAUGAAGGCCUUAGGGUUGUAAAGCUCUUUUACCCGGGAUGAUAAUGACAGUACCGGGAGAAUAAGCUCCGGCUAACUCCGUG
rnacentral:rRNA from 1 species